rnacentral:rRNA from 1 species
UACGGGGGGAGCAAGCGUUGGUUCGGAUUUACUGGGCGUAAAGGGCGCGUAGGCGGCCACGACAAGUCAGUUGUGAAAUCUCUGGGCUUAACUCAGAACGGUCAACUGAUACUGUCGGGCUAGAGUGCAGAAGGGGCAACUGGAAUUCUCGGUGUAGCGGUGAAAUGCGUAGAUAUCGAGAGGAACACCUGCGGCGAAGGCGGGUUGCUGGGCUGACACUGACGCUGAGGCGCGAAAGCUAGGGGAGCGAACGGG